UGGUAGUCAUAAUCUUGUCUCAAAGAUUAAGCCAUGCAUGUCUAAGUAUAAACAACUUUGUACUGUGAAACUGCGAAUGGCUCAUUAUAUCAGUUAUAGUCUACUCGAUAGUACCUUACUACUUGGAUAACCGUAGUAAUUCUAGAGCUAAUACAUGCAUCAAUACCCAACUGCUUGUCGGACGGGUAGCAUUUAUUAGAUUGAAACCAAUGCAGUCUUCGGGCUGGUAUUGUGUUGAGUCAUAAUAACUGUGCGGACCGCACUUUUGUGCGGUAAAUCGAUUGAGUUUCUGCCCUAUCAGCUUUGGAUGGUAGGAUAUGGGCCUACCAUGGCAUCAACGGGUAACGGGGAAUGGGGCGGGGGCGGCGGGCCGGGCGCGGGGCGCGGCGGGC
rnacentral:rRNA from 1 species